GACGAACGCUGGCGGCGUGCUUAACACAUGCGAGUCGAACGGAAAGGCCCUGCUUUUGUGGGGUGCUCGAGUGGCGAACGGGUGAGUAACACGUGAGUAACCUGCCCUUGACUUUGGGAUAACUUCAGGAAACUGGGGCUAAUACCGGAUAGGAGCUCCUGCUGCUUGGUGGGGGUUGGAAAGUUUCGGCGGUUGGGGAUGGACUCGCGGCUUAUCAGCUUGUUGGUGGGGUAGUGGCUUACCAAGGCUUUGACGGGUAGCCGGCCUGAGAGGGUGACCGGCGACAUUGGGACUGAGAUACGGCCCAGACUCCUACGGGAGGCAGCAGUGGGGAAUAUUGCACAAUGGGCGGAAGCCUGAUGCAGCAACGCCGCGUGCGGGAUGACGGCCUUCGGGUUGUAAACCGCUUUCGCCUGUGACGAAGCGUGAGUGACGGUAAUGGGUAAAGAAGCACCGGCUAACUACGUG
rnacentral:rRNA from 1 species